AUAGAAUCUACAUGAAUUCUAUUGGAAUAUUCAUGGCGUAACAGGAAUUGAAGAAUGUAUGUCAAGAUUAGUACCUUUUUAUAUACCCAUGGAAUCUAAGACAUAUAUAUGGAGUUGUCAAAUAUGAAGGCUUCCUGGAGCAACAUCUGAAGGCCAGUGGUGAACUAAGGCUUAACUGAGCUGUGCAAGUAGCUGGAUAACAUCUGUGUUGUCUUAUGGUGUCUGAGACUUACAUUCAGGAGCAACAGGUAUACCACAGGCCCCACAGCUGACCUGCACUGAAGUACUACAGCUCCCUUGCAGCUGGAGAUUUUUGGAGAUCUC
rnacentral:lncRNA from 1 species